GAUGAACGCUAGCGGCAGGCUUAAUACAUGCAAGUCGAGGGGCAGCAUGACUUUAGCAAUACAGUUGAUGGCGACCGGCAAACGGGUGCGGAACACGUACAGAACCUUCCUUCAAGCGGGGAAUAGCCCAGAGAAAUUUGGAUUAAUACCCCAUAGUAUUACGAAGUGGCAUCACUUUGUACUUAAAGAUUUAUCACUUGAAGAUGGCUGUGCGGCUGAUUAGGUAGUUGGCGGGGUAACGGCCCACCAAGCCUACGAUCAGUAACUGGUGUGAGAGCAAGACCAGUCACACGGGCACCUGGACACGGGCCCGACUCCUACGGGAGGCAGCAGUAAGGAAUAUUGGUCAAUGGACGAAAGUCUGAACCAGCCAUGCCGCGUGGAGGAUGAAGGCCCUCUGGGUUGUAAACUUCUUUUAUAUGGGACGAAAAAGGGUCUUUCUAGAUCAACUGACGGUACCAUGUGAAUAAGCACCGGCUAACUCCGUGCCAGCCGCCGCAGUAAAAC
rnacentral:rRNA from 1 species